UGAGGGUCGUUUAACAAAAAUAACCAGACUGCUCGCGGAAACGCUAGCGUACGCCUGAGUGUUUCGUCGCUGUGUGCACAAGCACGCAGACGGCGUCGCUCGAAACAAUGGCCAAAACAGCAGACUGUUGUCGUGUGUCGCUAGUAAAGCGCCUCGAGCGUGUUUGAACGAUAUGCACAGGCACACGCUAUACGACGAUGAGUAGUAUAUUAUAUAUUAUAAAUAUAUAUACACACACACUCACACACACACGCACACGUGUUGUUUGCGUCGAGUCCCUGAGCUCUUUGCGUGCGUUUUGACGCCGCGGGCGGACCGAUGCAGCGCGCGUCGUCGUGGCGUGAUUGAUGCUUGUGUUGUGGUGUAUUCUCGUCGUGUGUGCCGAUUGUGUUUCAUACACACGUCUCUUGGAAAAGAAAUGCACACUACUACUGUGUCUAUGUUUGUCUUUUUUUUGAAAGCGAUUUUUAUAUAUUAUUCUUAACGACGACCUCAGAGCAGGCGAGACUACCCCC
rnacentral:misc_RNA from 1 species